rnacentral:rRNA from 1 species
UUAACCAAGCAGCUAGCCCCCCCCCCCCCCCCCAUUUCAAGUAAUAAAUAUUUAUAACCCCAAACACACCAUAUCACAAACAACAAAUCAUUUUCCCCCCCUAGUAUGGGCGACAGAAAAGGAGACC